AACGAACGCUGGCGGCGUGCUUAAUACAUGCAAGUCGAACGAGAACCUUCAGCUUCAACUUCGGUUGUCGCAGUUGGUGAAAGUGGCGAACGGGUGAGUAACACGUGGGCAAUCUGCCCUCAAAUCCGGGAUAAUCCUUCGAAAGGGGGUCUAAUACCGGAGACACCACAGGAUGGCAUCAUCCCGUGGUCAAAGGUGGAGCAAUCUGCUGUUUGAGGAUGAGCCCGCGCCCCAUUAGCUUGUUGGUGAGGUAACGGCCCACCAAGGCAUCGAUGGGUAGCCGGCCUGAGAGGGUGAUCGGCCACACUGGGACCGAGAUACGGCCCAGACUCCUACGGGAGGCAGCAGUAGGGAAUAUUGCGCAAUGGACGCAAGUCUGACGCAGCAACGCCGCGUGAGUGAUGAAGCUCCUUGGAGUGUAAAACUCUGUCAAUGGGGAAGAACAACAUCAGGAGUAACUGCCUGAUGCCUGACGGUACCCAUAGAGGAAGCACCGGCUAACUCCGUGCCAGCAGCCGCGGUAAUACGGGGGGUGCAAGCGUUGUUCGGAUUUACUGGGCGUAAAGGGCGCGUAGGCGGGCCCUCAAGUCGGGUGUGAAAACCGGCAGCUUAACUGCCGGCCUGCAUUCGAUACUAUGGGUCUUGAGUACGGAAGAGGAAAGCGGAAUUCCAGGUGUAGCGGUGAAAUGCGUAGAUAUCUGGAAGAACACCAGUAGCGAAGGCGGCUUUCUGGUCCGAUACUGACGCUGAAGCGCGAAGGCUAGGGUAGCAAACAGGAUUAGAUACCCUGGUAGUCCUAGCGGUAAACGAUGGGUACUAGGUGUCGGGGGUAUCGACCCCCUCGGUGCCGCAGCUAACGCAUUAAGUACCCCGCCUGGGGAGACGGUCGCAAGAUU
rnacentral:rRNA from 1 species